CUUAAACAUAGACUGUAAGCAGCGUUAUUUUGACCCUUGGUGCAUCCAGUAGUCUCUGCCGUGUGAGCUCACUUUAUCGCCAGACUGCACCGAGGAAGAACAGAGAGAAGCAGGAAGCGGGACGCAGUUGGAAAAACGAGAUCACACGGGCCCAGAAGCGGGUGUUAAGUGUAAAGACACCAUCACUCGGGAUUUUUGAAUGCCGUCAUUUACCGAAGGAUUUUUUCCCCCUGGAAACUCCGGCUGGUUUUUGAGACCCUGGAUUGUAGCUUAGAGGUCAACUCUUCGCUGGAUGCAGAUGGCAGCGAGUCCCAGAGAAGAUGCACCCUGUAUGAUGAGAUCAGACCGCGGUGUGGCCAGCUGCUUCAGAUCCCAUUCAACAGGACUGACACAUCAGAUUACAGGAUACUGGCAGAUAAGAAAGAUCCCCCACACGUUCAUUAUCCUGCCCAGGUAGAGAUACAAAUAACUGAAAUUCACUGGACACUUUUUAAAAUUGUAUUUUUUAUGAAAUAGCUCUUCUUAUUCUGGGGUUUAAUCACACACAGUGUAUUUCGUACCCCAGCACUACUUCUCAGAACGUAGGUUGGUAAGUUAGCUUAAGUGCUACGCUAGUGUUAAAUAUUCUAGACCUGUCUUUAUCAUUCAAAAACUACACUACAGGGCUUUCCCCAGUACAUUGAACUAUGAUGCUAAGGGACUCCCAAGUGUGUUAUAAAGUGACAACAAAGGGUCUUGACCAUUGGUCCAUAUGUGAAGACUUGGGAGUGAGAACGGGUUGGGUUGUAGAUGGUUCAUUUUAUAUCAACAGUUGUACAGUUUAUGCAGUAAUAGUCUCUCGUGUUGUUGUGUUUUUUUGUGAAUGAAUGGGUGAAAGGCAUUUUGUAAUAAAUAAUAUGUUCUGUA